rnacentral:rRNA from 1 species
UACGGGGGGGGCAAGCGUUGUUCGGAAUUACUGGGCGUAAAGGGCUCGUAGGUGGCCAACUAAGUCAUACGUGAAAUCCCUCGGCUUAACCGGGGAACUGCGUCUGAUACUGGAUGGCUUGAGGUUGGGAGAGGGAUGCGGAAUUCCAGGUGUAGCGGUGAAAUGCGUAGAUAUCUGGAGGAACACCGGUGGCGAAGGCGGCGUUCUGGACUGCAACUGACACUGAAAAACGAAAGCCAGGGGAGCAAACGGG